CUUUCCUAAUGUCUUAAUUCGGUCCUCAGUUAAACUGGCGGUGGGCGCUGCUUUUUUUCCAGGGAAGGAUUCUGGAAGACAUAGGAGGAGACGCCAGCAUUUCGCCCUCCAGCACCUCCUGCGGGCUGUGGUCCGCUUCCGGCCUCACUCGAGCAGACCCCGCCCUCCCAGAGGCCGUUUGUCCAAGUCACGUGAUCGUCGAAUCUGUUGACCUGGCGCCACCGGAAAAAGAAAUUCCCGGGCCCUGGCUUCUUGGCCUGAUGGUGCUAAAGUGGAGGGCCUCCCAUGGGGUGUUCAGCCUGGGUGUGUAGAAGCACACAGUGUGGUACAGAGGACCCUCUCCAGACAGCUGCCUCCCACCAACCCUAGAAAUGAUGCUGGGAGCUGACAGAAACUGAACUUAGGAGCACAGGAGGCCAGGAGACCUGGGACAGAGAACAGGAGGUGACCCCUCAUGCUGCUGCUCCCUCUGCUGAAACCCAAACUGCAAACCUCUCCUCUCCCUGCCUUCACCUUGCCCCACGGCUUCCACAGACAGUGCCUCAACCCCGAGGAAUGAAUCCGAAGUUCCAACACCACUGACUUUCCCAGGAACUCAGAGCCAGAGAGGGCCAAGGACCAGCUCGAGGACACACAGCCAGGGCUUCUUCCCUCCGAAACCCCCAAGGACUGGACUUGCAGGGCUGGGACAGAGGUGGGGUGGGGGAAAGCAAUGCCUUGUCAACCCACGUGGGGAGCCCCACUCCCAUCCCCAAGGUGCAUAAAGUUGAGGAACACCCCUGCU
rnacentral:lncRNA from 1 species